rnacentral:rRNA from 1 species
ACUCCUACGGGAGGCAGCAGUGGGGAAUAUUGCACAAUGGGCGCAAGCCUGAUGCAGCCAUGCCGCGUGUAUGAAGAAGGCCUUCGGGUUGUAAAGUACUUUCAGCAGUGAGGAAGGUGAGUAGUAGUUAAUAGCUGCAUUAUUUGACGUUAGCUAGCAAGAAGAAGCGACCGCUAACUCCGUGCCAGCAGCCGCGGUAAUACGGAGGGUGCGAGCGUUAAUCGGAAUUACUGGGCGUAAAAGCGCAUGCAGGUGGUUUGUUAAAGUCAGAUGUGAAAAGCCCGGGGCUCAACCUCGGAAAUUGCAUUUGAAAACUGGCAAGACUAGAGUACUGUAGAGGGGGUGAGAA